UACGUAGGGGGCAAGCGUUAUCCGGAUUUACUGGGUGUAAAGGGAGCGCAGGCGGCGUGGCAAGUCAGAUGUGAAAACCCGGGGCCCAACCCCGGGAGUGCAUUUGAAACUGCCAUGCUGGAGUGCCGGAGAGGUAAGCGGAAUUCCUAGUGUAGCGGUGAAAUGCGUAGAUAUAUGGAAGAACACCAGUGGCGAAAGCGGCUCUCUGGUCUGUAACUGACGCUGAGGUUCGAAAGCGUGGGUAGCAAACAGG
rnacentral:rRNA from 1 species